rnacentral:rRNA from 12 species
CACGGCGACUAUAUCCCUGGUGUUCACCUCUUCCCAUUCCGAACAGAGUCGUUAAGCCCAGGAGAGCCGAUGGUACUGCUUUAUUGCGGGAGAGUAGGUCGUCGCCGAGU